GACGAACGCUGGCGGCGUGCUUAACACAUGCAAGUCGAACGGAAAGGCCCUGCUUUUGUGGGGUGCUCGAGUGGCGAAAGGGUGAGUAACACGUGAGUAACCUGCCCUUUACUUUGGGAUAACUUCAGGAAACUGGGGCUAAUACCGGAUAGGAGCUCCUGCUGCAUGGUGGGGGUUGGAAAGUUUCGGCGGUUGGGGAUGGACUCGCGGCUUAUCAGCUUGUUGGUGGGAUAGUGGCUUACCAAGGCUUUGACGGGUAGCCGGCCUGAGAGGGUGACCGGCCACAUUGGGACUGAGAUACGGCCCAGACUCCUACGGGAGGCAGCAGUGGGGAGUAUUGCACAAUGGGCGGAAGCCUGAUGCAGCAACGCCGCGUGCGGGAUGACGGCCUUCGGGUUGUAAACCGCUUUCGCCUGUGACGAAGCGUGAGUGACGGUAAUGGGUAAAGAAGCACCGGCUAACUACGUG
rnacentral:rRNA from 1 species